GCAGCAGUAGGGAAUCUUCCGCAAUGGGCGAAAGCCUGACGGAGCGACGCCGCGUGAGCGAAGAAGGCCUUCGGGUCGUAAAGCUCUGUUGUGAGGGACGAAGGAGCGCCGUUCGAAGAGGGCGGCGCGGUGACGGUACCUCACGAGGAAGCCCCGGCUAACUACGUGCCAGCAGCCGCGGUAGUACGUAGGGGGCGAGCGUUGUCCGGAAUUAUUGGGCGUAAAGCGCGCGCAGGCGGUUCCUUAAGUCUGAUGUGAAAGCCCACGGCUCAACCGUGGAGGGUCAUUGGAAACUGGGGGACUUGAGUGCAGGAGAGGAGAGCGGAAUUCCACGUGUAGCGGUGAAAUGCGUAGAGAUGUGGAGGAACACCAGUGGCGAAGGCGGCUCUCUGGCCUGCAACUGACGCUGAGGCGCGAAAGCGUGGGGAGCAAACAGGAUUAGAUACCCUGGUAGUCCACGCCGUAAACGAUGAGUGCUAAGUGUUAGAGGGGUCACACCCUUUAUUGCUGCAGCUAACGCGAUAAGCACUCCGCCUGGGGAGUACGGCCGCAAGGCUGAAACUCAAAGGAAUUGACGG
rnacentral:rRNA from 1 species